rnacentral:rRNA from 1 species
GAAAGUAAGUAAGGGCGUAUGGGGGAUGCCUAGGCUCUUGGAGGCUAAGAAGGACGUGGUAAGCUGCGAAAAGCUGCGGGGAUUUGCAAACGAGACUCGAUCCGCAGAUAUCCGAAUGGGACAACCCGGCAGGUAGAAGACCUGUCACACCGCGAGGUGAGCUAACCCUCUGAACUGAAACAUCUAAGUAGGAGGAGGAAAAGAAAGAAACAUCGAUUUCCAAAGUAGCGGCGAGCGAAAUGGAAGAAGCCCAAACCGAUAUUGUUACGGCAAUAUCGGGGUUGUAGGACUGCAAUAUUCAAUUAACAAUGAACUGGAAUGGUCUGGAAAGUCCAUCCAUAGAGAGUGAAAGGCUCGUACAGGUAAGUUUGUUAUGCGAUAGCAGUAUCCUGAGUAUGGCGGGACACGAGGAAUCCUGUCAGAAUCAGCCGGGACCACCCGGUAAGGCUAAAUACUCCCAAGAGACCGAUAGUGGACCAGUACUGUGAAGGAAAGGUGAAAAGAACCCCGAACAGGGGAGUGAAAUAGAACCUGAAACCAUACGCUUACAACCGGUCGGAGCAGCUUCGUGCUGUGACGGCGUGCCUAUUGAAUAAUGAGCCUACGAGUUACUAAUCACUAGCGAGGUUAAGUGCAAGGAUGCACGGAGCCGAAGCGAAAGCGAGUCUGAACAGGGCGUUUAGUUAGUGGUUGUAGACGCGAAACCUUGCGAUCUACCCUUGAGCAGGUUGAAGGUUGGGUAAAACCAACUGGAGGACCGAACGAAUAAGCGUUGAAAAGCUUCUCGAUGACUUGAGGGUAGGGGUGAAAGGCUAAUCAAGCUGGGAAAUAGCUCGUACUCCCCGAAAUGCCUUUUGGGGCAGCGUUGUAAUAAAGAGUCUACUGGAGGUAGAGCUACUGAUUGGAUGCGGGGGCUUCACCGCCUACCAAAUCCUGACAAACUCCGAAUGCCAGUAGUAUGAUUUACAGCAGUGAGUGACUGGGUGCUAAUGUCCAGUCGCAAAAGAGGAACAACUCAGACCAGCAACUAAGGUCCCGAAGAAUAUGCUAAGUUGAUCUAACGAUGUUUUGUUGCAGAGACAGCUAGGAUGUUAGCUUGGAAGCAGCUAUUCAUUCAAAGAGUGCGUAACAGCUCACUAGUCGAGCGACAGAGCGUGGAUAAUAAACGGGCAUCAAGCAUAUCACCGAAGUUCUGGGCGCGAGAGCGCGGUAGGGGAGCAUUCCAUUCAGCGUCGAAGCAGUUUCGUGAGGAAUUGUGGAGCGUAUGGAAAAGCAAAUGUAGGCAUGAGUAACGAUAAUGCGGGAGAGUAACCCGCACACCGCAAGACCAAGGUUUCCUGAUCAACGCUAAUCGGAUCAGGGUUAGUCGGGUCCUAAGGGUAAGCCGAACGGCGAUCUCGAUGGAUAAUCGGUUAAUAUUCCGAUACUAACAUAUACCUCGAUGGAGAGACGAAGGAACGUAAGUGCCGCCACCUGACGGAAUAGGUGGUUAAAGGGCGUAGGUAUAGGGGCAGAUUAAGAGUUAGUCCUUGCUGAAACCUGACAGUACAGAGAGCCUACGGGCAAUUUGAUAGAGCACCCAAGUCGACUUCCGAGAAAAUCUUCUAAGUUAUAGUAUAUGUUACCCGUACCGUAAACCGACACAGGUGGUCGAGGAGAGUAUCCUAAGGUGCUCGAGUGAAUCACGGUUAAGGAACUAGGCAAAUUAACCCCGUAACUUCGGGAAAAGGGGUCCCUAUGAAAGUAGGGCGCAGCGAAGAGGUCCAGGCGACUGUUUAUCAAAAACACAGGGCUCUGCAAAUUCGAAAGAAGACGUAUAGGGCCUGACACCUGCCCGGUGCUGGAAGGUUAAGAGGGGAUGUCAUCGCAAGAGAAGCAUUGAAUCGAAGCCCCAGUAAACGGCGGCCGUAACUAUAACGGUCCUAAGGUAGCGAAAUUCCUUGUCGGGUAAGUUCCGACCUG